CACAUGCAAGUCGAGGGGCAGCAUUUCGCUAGCAAUAGUGAAGAUGGCGACCGGCGCACGGGUGAGUAACACGUAUCCAACCUGCCGAUAACUCGGGGAUAGCCUUUCGAAAGAAAGAUUAAUAUCCGAUGGUAUAUUAAAACCGCAUGGUUUUACUAUUAAAGAAUUUCGGUUAUCGAUGGGGAUGCGUUCCAUUAGUUUGUUGGCGGGGUAACGGCCCACCAAGACUACGAUGGAUAGGGGUUCUGAGAGGAAGGUCCCCCACAUUGGAACUGAGACACGGUCCAAACUCCUACGGGAGGCAGCAGUGAGGAAUAUUGGUCAAUGGGCGAGAGCCUGAACCAGCCAAGUAGCGUGAAGGAUGACUGCCCUAUGGGUUGUAAACUUCUUUUAUAUGGGAAUAAAGUAUUCCACGUGUGGGAUUUUGUAUGUACCAUAUGAAUAAGGAUCGGCUAACUCCGUGCCAGCAGCCGCGGUAAUACGGAGGAUCCGAGCAUUAUCCGGAUUUAUUGGGUUUAAAGGGAGCGUAGGUGGAUUGUUAAGUCAGUUGUGAAAGUUUGCGGCUCAACCGUAAAAUUGCAGUUGAAACUGGCAGUCUUGAGUACAGUAGAGGUGGGCGGAAUUCGUGGUGUAGCGGUGAAAUGCUUAGA
rnacentral:rRNA from 1 species